UAAAUGAAAGUAAUCUUAAAAAUAUACUCCAUGUUGUCAGCGAUGCUAUUGGAUAGUAUGUUUUUACCACAGUGUCAACAAGCAGAGGUGGAAUGUGACGGACUCCUCUCGACCCUUUGCUUUCAGCUCUUGUGCAGAAUAUCUCACCCUUUUGGAAUAUGUCCGACAACAUCAACGCCGAAUCGAUCCUUGAAGUUGAAUGCGUAAGAAACUCCACAUACGAUGACCGUCUGCAAAAGAAACAACAGGAGGUGUGAGUUACAAAAGAAGAGAUAUUUAUUAUGUCCUGCUGCACAGAUUGUGAACUCUUUCCCUGAGCUGGCAAGAAUCCUUUCCUUUAAAGCCUUCAAUGACCUCAUAAAUCAGAUCAGUGGUUGUUACGGUCACAGUCAAAUUAAACAUUAUCAUUAUUACUGA